GUAGGUGGCAAGCGUUGUCCGGAAUUAUUGGGGCGUAAAGCGCGCGCAGGCGGUUCUUUAAGUCUGAUGUGAAAGCCCACGGCUCAACCGUGGAGGGUCAUUGGAAACUGGAGAACUUGAGUACAGAAGAGGAAAGCGGAAUUCCACGUGUAGCGGUGAAAUGCGUAGAGAUGUGGAGGAACACCAGUGGCGAAGGCGGCUUUCUGGUCUGUAACUGACGCUGAGGCGCGAAAGCGUGGGGAGCAAACAGGAUUAGAUACCCUGGUAGUCCACGCCGUAAACGAUGAGUGCUAAGUGUUAGGGGGUUUCCGCCCCUUAGUGCUGCAGCUAACGCAUUAAGCACUCCGCCUGGGGAGUACGGCCGCAAAGGCUGA
rnacentral:rRNA from 1 species